rfam:Schistosoma mattheei strain Denwood, Zambia genome assembly, scaffold: SMTD_scaffold0025554
ACCCAGCUGAUGAGUCCCGAAUGGAACGAAACACGCGUCCUAGAU